rnacentral:rRNA from 1 species
UACGGGGGGAGCAAGCGUUGUUCGGAUUUACUGGGCGUAAAGGGCGCGUAGGCGGUAGCACAAGUCAGUUGUGAAAUCUCCGGGCUUAACUCGGAAAGGUCAACUGAUACUGUGCGACUAGAGUGCAGAAGGGGCAACUGGAAUUCUCGGUGUAGCGGUGAAAUGCGUAGAUAUCGAGAGGAACACCUGCGGCGAAGGCGAGUCCCUGGACAACACCUGACACUGAGGCACGAAAGCUAGGGGAGCAAACAGG